AACGCUACCCGGCGUGCUUAUUCAUGCAAGUACACGAUGACUUUUGUGCUUGCACAGAAUGAUUAGUGGCGAACGGGUGAGUAACACGUGAGUAACCUGCCAUUGACUCUGGGAUAAGCCUGGGAAACUGGGUCUAAUACCGGAUAUGCACCGUGGACCGCAUGGUUCUUGGUGGAAAGAUUUUUUGGUCAGGGAUGGACUCGCGGCCUAUCAGCUUGUUGGUGAGGUAAUGGCUCACCAAGGCGACGACGGGUAGCCGGCCUGAGAGGGUGACCGGCCACACUGGGACUGAGACACGGCCCAGACUCCUACGGGAGGCAGCAGUGGGGAAUAUUGCACAAUGGGCGAAAGCCUGAUGCAGCGACGCCGCGUGAGGGAUGACGGCCUUCGGGUUGUAAACCUCUUUCAGUAGGGAAGAAGCGAAAGUGACGGUACCUGCAGAAGAAGCGCCGGCUAACUACGUGCCAGCAGCCGCGGUAAUACGUAGGGCGCAAGCGUUAUCCGGAAUUAUUGGGCGUAAAGAGCUCGUAGGCGGUUUGUCGCGUCUAUCGUGAAAGUCCGAGGCUCAACCUCGGAUCUGCGGUGGGUACGGGCAGACUAGAGUGAUGUAGGGGAGACUGGAAUUCCUGGUGUAGCGGUGAAAUGCGCAGAUAUCAGGAGGAACACCGAUGGCGAAGGCAGGUCUCUGGGCAUUAACUGACGCUGAGGAGCGAAAGCAUGGGGAGCGAACAGGAUUAGAUACCCUGGUAGUCCAUGCCGUAAACGUGGGGCACUAGGU
rnacentral:rRNA from 1 species